rnacentral:rRNA from 1 species
UAAUACGGAGGGUGCAAGCGUUAGUCGGAAUUACUGGGCGUAAAGCGUGCGUAGGUGGUUUGUUAAGUCAGAUGUGAAAGCCCCGGGCUCAACCUGGGAACUGCAUUUGAAACUGGCAAACUUGAGUAUAGGAGAGGAAAGUGGAAUUUCUGGUGUAGCGGUGAAAUGCGUAGAUAUCAGAAGGAACAUCAAUGGCGAAGGCAGCUUUCUGGACUAAUACUGACACUGAGGUACGAAAGCGUGGGUAGCAAACAGGAUUAGAUACCCUGGUAGUCCACGCCGUAAACGAUGACAACUAGCCGUUGGGGGGAUUUACCCUUUAGUGGCGAAGCUAACGCGUUAAGUUGUCCGCCUGGGGAGUACGGCCGCAAGGUUA